ACGAGAACAUACGUUCUUUGAACCAAGCUUCAACUCC
rnacentral:misc_RNA from 1 species